UACGAAGGGGGCUAGCGUUGCUCGGAAUCACUGGGCGUAAAGCGCACGUAGGCGGAUUGUUAAGUCAGGGGUGAAAUCCUGGAGCUCAACUCCAGAACUGCCUUUGAUACUGGCGAUCUCGAGUCCGGGAGAGGUGAGUGGAACUGCGAGUGUAGAGGUGAAAUUCGUAGAUAUUCGCAAGAACACCAGUGGCGAAGGCGGCUCACUGGCCCGGUACUGACGCUGAGGUGCGAAAGCGUGGGAGCAA
rnacentral:rRNA from 1 species